UUCGUUAAACAAAAUUUAAUUUUUUGCAUAAGUGAAAGUCAAUGAUUUAAGUCUGACUUUUUAAAUUAUUUUUUUUCAGUAGUACAAGUCAAUAUUCCGUUAGAUUCUUUAAUUACUAAAUUAUAAUUUGGUUCUAUUUUGAUACCUAAAAUUAGUACUGUUUUAGUACUUUCUUUUUACAGUUAGUACAAGUCAAUAUUUGGUUAGAAUUGAAAAAAAUGUUCGUACCAUUAUAAGUAGUACAGUCAUAUGAAGAUUCGUAGAAUAAAAGAAACAGAAAAAGUCACAAGAAGCAAAGGAGUGGGGGACAAAUGGAUCGUUCAAAAGAGACGUUGCUUUUAGUAAAAUGAAGGAGGAAUAUUACAGUAAACAUCCAUAUAUAUAUAUAUAUAUAGCUAAAAUUAAUAAAAAUACCACAGCGAGUUGAGGGGAGGCAACAAAAAAAAAAGUAUAAAUUAAAUAUAAAAGAGGUGAACGACCGAGCUCUUUUUAAAUUGGUUUAUCUCAUAUUUCACAGGAGUAUUGCACUGGAGUUCGAAAUUGAUUGCCGAGUGAGUUGAAGGAAGAUAGAAAAAAAAAAAUAUAUAUAUAUAUAUAUACUUCGAGGGAUGAGAAAGGACUUUGUGGUGGUAGAUUUUCAUGGCGGUUGAAUGAAGAGUGUUGGAAGGGGGCAAAAAAAAAAAGAAAAUUGGGGUCGGGGGGGGGUGAAUAGACCAGACCCAGCGAAAGCAAAAAUACACGAGAAAAUACAUUCUUCAAAAAUGAGAGAAACAAGCGUAUGUUUUCACAAACAAAUAUUUACAUAGAAACAACAAGAAAACGGGUAAAUGUAUUUUCUGUUUGAUUUGUGACUAUAUAUCCUAUAUAUUUUUUUCCGUUUUACAAGUCUCACAUUUCUCGAAAUUUUUUUUUUUUUUUUUGGUUUUCAAGAAACGACAUGACUAAUGGUUUUUUUAUUGAAUAACAGAAAAUACAAAACUAAUCUUAAAUUACCCGUAAAUUUUUUUUCAUCAAAAAUCACAAUUACAAAUUUCUAAACCAUUGUUUAAAAAAAUAAUUAACUCAUU